rnacentral:rRNA from 1 species
UACGUAGGGGGCAAGCGUUGUCCGGAUUUAUUGGGCGUAAAGAGCGUGUAGGCGGCCAGGUAGGUCAGCUGUGAAGACUCGAGGCUCAACCUCGAGACGCCGGUUGAAACCGUCUGGCUAGAGUCCGGAAGAGGAGAGUGGAAUUCCCGGUGUAGCGGUGAAAUGCGCAGAUAUCGGGAAGAACACCCGUGGCGAAGGCGGCUCUCUGGGACGGUACUGACGCUGAGACGCGAAAGCGUGGGGAGCGAACAGG